ensembl:lncRNA
AUUUUAAAUUAAAUGUGUGUGACUUUAUAUAGGCUACCAGCACAAGCAAAGGACUGAGACUAAAAGAUCAGUUUAUUCUCGCGAUACAACGAGGUGCAAUGUGACAUCACACACAAUUAGCCUAUGCAUAAAUUAACUCGCGAUAAUUAAUGUUGUUGAUGCCUUGAUGUUCAUACAGUUUAAUAUCCACUCAGCAGCUUGCACCAACGCACAUCCCCUAGAUGGAGGCGUAGAUCAUUGUGGGAUCAUUCGAUUGGCCCUUUGGGAAUAACUGGACAAACCACUUGAACCCAGCACAUCACCUCUGACCCUUGUGUCAGCUGUGACUGGUGCUCGAGAGACUUGCGUUGACAUCAACUUCAAAUAUGACGCUGAAGGGCAUCAAUUAAGUCUCCUUUGACUUCUGGAUCGCAGAUUGGUUAAUAUUUAUGUAAAAUGGCUAAAUACGUUUUAGAAAUUAUAUUAAUAGUAAGCCUACAUUUUGACAAAGGCCUAGCUAUGAUAGCACAUUAAAAUGUAUUUCACUGUGCUCUAGAUGUUUGUGACUUCACUUUUUUUCAUUUAGACUAUUUUAACAAUACAUCAAGACUAAUAUGUAUGUUGCUUGCGCAUGAAGAAUGUUGUUCUUUUCGCAGAAUAACAAACUUCCCCUCCCCCACGGGCUCAUCAUUUGUUUAAGACCUAUUCUUUUUCUUUAAGAGGCUUGUUUAGAGCAAAGAGCACGUGUCUGGUCAGUUAAGAGUGGUCUGACCCCUUGGUCAACCAUGAACAGUCAUACCCUAUUCUAUUGCUUAAACCUCAGAGGUCAGCUAGAAAAGCUGUUGUAAAGAUGAGGGGAGAACAUGGAGUGUGUGUACCUAGGCUACUUAACCAUAUUUGUAAAAAUGCAGAUGGUUUUGUCAUGUUUGGAGUGUGGGUUUUAGGGCUAGGUUAUAAAAUGUGUAACUAUAGAAACAAUCUAUGCACUUCCCCCAUUUCGAUAGCUAUACGCAAAGGGUUUUUUUUUUUUUUUUGCUGGCUCCAACAUAACAUCGAUACAGUUUAUCUGCACAUAAACAUAUUCAGAAUCCAAUAAUGAUAAUAAAAAAAAACAGUUGUUUUAAAAUCUACAACCUAAACUGUGAAAUUGAAUGUCAAGUGCAAAGAGCGCUACUGUAACAACUGCUGUGGUGAGUUAAAACAUUAAUAGAAAACAUGGACAUUUUAAACAUUUUAAUUUAACAAAUAUAGAACAAUUUAAAGCAAAACAGCAAAUACAUUUGGGAACAAACACACUGUAAAAACAGACAUGUGUGUUGAGUUUGCACUGUUGUUGCCCUCAAUAUUUCUGCAUUGGAAAGUGUUACAACCCUUCCUGUCUGGUCAGAUAUAAAAUUUGAAUUAAAAGCGUGUGUGUAUUUCAAAUUGAACAAGAGAACCUGCUGAAUCAGAUGAUAUUAACCCAUAUGUAAUGUAAAAUCAUUCAUCACACUAAAUUAAAAGAGACGGGGAGACAUCUCGAAUUUUUUUGCCUUGUAAAUCUUCUAUAUUUUUACAGAGAGUCUUACGAUUUGUACCUCUAACUCAGUGGAGUGGUGCUCAUGUAUAUGAUGCAGAUUUCACCCCUGUAGCUGAUUUCUAAUUGCAAACUUACAACUUACCCCGUGUUACAGCAGUGCAGUCUCUCCUACAAUAUUAACUCGACAUCCGACGACUAACGAGUCUCUUCUUUCUCCACAGGCUUAUCCUGAUAUGAACGCUAUGAUUUAAAUUACUGGAAAUCUAAUACAGAGAUUGGUUAUUGCUUACAGUAAAUGUUUGUUGAAUAGCAUAUACGAUGGAUAGUUGUAAAGUUUUGUAAUGAAAUAAAAUAAAUGAAUUUUGUUCUGUUGAUAUCGUCAGUUUGUUUCUUUCCCCCUUUUUUGUUAAUUUAAUUGAUGCAAGUCAAUUACGCCAUAAUAAAUGAUAUAAACUGGUGGGAAGGAGUUUCAUUAUGCAAUAAAAUGGAGAAUAGUUUCCACAUCUUUUGUUUUUUCGCGUAAAAUCAGGUAGAACAUUCUCAGCAUUAUCGGUGGUGAAAUAGUUCAUGUAACCAAAGUUUGUGCCCAAACUUAUUCAACGUAUGCAUUUCACCACUGCCUGCAACAUGUUUUGAUAAGAUGAUAUUGAGAACGUAAACUUUUUAAUCUCUUUAAGCUCUAAAAAUGAUCUGCCCGUCUUCUGUACGCUCCACAAAAACUGAAUGAAGCAACAGACGUGGAAUUAUAUGUAAAAAUGUACAGAAACGUAUUUUAAAUAUAAUAUUCAAAUUCCGAUUAAGUUAUAUAGGCUAUUGGUUGGAAGUAAUCUAAUUAAAAGCAGGCCUAUUUUAACAUAAGAUAUAAAGGUUUUAUUUGAUAGAGCACACGAUCAUUUGUACUACUCCACGAUUCACUGACAAACUCGAGAGUGAAAACUCUUCAGAUGUGUUUGUGAUUCUGGAACUGCGCAGGAAAAACACCCAUCAAAAUUAAAUUUCAACUGAAGAUUAAAUCUUGUCAGAUUUGUCAUAGACAUCCAUCUUAACUUGAGAGCUGUGUGUGAAUCCUUCCUUUAUGGCUUAAUGUAAUUUAACCAGUGUUUUACACCAGGUAUAUUUCUCAUCAGCUGACAAUGUGAUGAAUGAUUAUUCCAGCUCAGACAUAGAAAUGAGCUCUCAAUUUUGGCUCAAAAUAAUUUUACUUCAUAUGUUAAAUCUGUUGAUAAUCUUUUAACGUGACAAAUUCUCUGUUUUAUGUAGACUAUGCUUCAGAUAUAAUCUCAGUAAAUGAAAACAAUCAUUGACAUGCAGUGUUUGAGUGUUUGCCAGUCAAACAAAUCCCACUGACAGAAUUAUACAAAAUUGUUUGAUCCCCUUCCCACAGAUUAAAAACACAAACACGUCACCUUAAGCACACUGCGCUUACUCACACCAGGCCAGCACAUAGGUUUUAUUAUUAUUAUUUUUUUUUGUGACUUCUGCAUGAAUAAGAGAGGUGAUUCACUGCUAGUUAUUUUCUGCACUUGCUUAUUAUGUGCUGUCCAAGGUGCUGACAGGAGCACCAGAACUAUGAGCUGUCAAGCUGUCUUCAAGUAGGUGGUUACAAAUUAGCCUGUGGCCACUACAUGUGAAGCUGUGUUGAUGUCCACCUCCCAUUACAGUACAUUUCUAUACAGAGUAUAACUUAAAAUGGCUUUUUCAGCAAUCCAACAAUCAUUUACUCAGUGCUUUAAUGUUGUUUAUUUGUGCAGCUUAAUAAAUUUGUUUCACAUAUCACAUAAUCAGACAAAUGAUAAUCCAGAGAGAAACUGAGCAUAAUUCUUGUAUUAAACCAUACAUACAGUAGCCAUACAAAAUAUCUGGAUUAACCAAUUUCCUGUAAAUCAACUGAAACAGGCACAUUUUAUAAUAUAAUAACAUGAAACAUGGAUGACUAACAUGAAAGGUCAUUGAAAAUACUAAUAUUUAAAAUCGGGAUUGCACUGACAUGUUUCAAUAACAACUACUUUCAUUGUAAACUUUUCACACAUUAAGGCACAUUAUGCUCUUCAGUUUACACAGCACUGAUAAGAUUGUACAACACAUUUUCUAACAUCUAAGAUUUAACUGGGCGAACAGCCCAAAUCCACACACCCAUCCAGUAUUACUGAUUGUCUGCAAGGUUUUAAGACAAUUAGUGCACAUUCGAAAUCAUCUGCUUGUUAAAUUUUCACAGCGAACCAUCUGGAAGAAAUGCUGGACGCUGGAUUCCUGAGGUGAUGUGAUUGACCAUUUGAGUCAAACAUAGCAGCAUGGCCACGGUUUCUCCAGCAGCUGAUGACAAUGAUGGGAAUUUUUCAGAGUUUCAUCGCCAGGAGCCUGGUUAGAGAGGAAAAUAAAAAGAUUAAUAUGACAUGGCUUACUGUUAUGACAUAAAUGUCCAAAAGACACCAUACUGGCACUUUGAUGGUAGUGUGUGUGUAGUGUUAUUCAAUAUAGUGGAAAUGAAAAACCAUAUUAACGUUAACAUUAGAAAUAGAUCCAAAGAGCUAGAGUUGCAUGGUCACAAGGGAUGUCUGUUUUUUUAAAUGAACAUUUCUGAAAGGAAAACAAAAAUACUUCCAAAACUAAUCCUGUGUGCUUAAACUGGCAUUUGUGAUGUCUUGAAUGUCUCUCCACUGUCAACUUGAAAAUAUCUGAUUGACUGAAAUGCAAAUGACAACCCUGCUAUCUUCUGUACUCCUGUACUAUCUUCUGUUCUAUUCCUGAUAAAUCUAGUGAUGGGAAAAGUGUUUAGAAUUAUCGAUCAGUAAUGCUACUAUGAAAACUGAAACACAAUGCAAUGCAAACCACUGUCAGCAAUAUUUUGUUCUUGUAUUUCACCCCAAAUAAUAGGAAGUGGAUUUAUGGGUUUGCAAUACUGCUAAUAUUCUAAAUGUUGUAGAUUUUAGAAAGGUUAGAGUCCAUUUUGGUUGCGUUUCCAAUAGUUUAUUUUAAUGAGAACAAUCAAGCAUCUAAAUUGGAGUGUGGGGUAAUACUGUGCUGUCCUUUGUGUGGGUUAUUCGACAGUUUUACAACAUCACCAUAUUCACUCAGCUUAGUGGUCAUUAUAGUUUUAAAGAGGGUGACAUUUUGAGAUAAUUUUGAGUAUUUAUAUUGCUCCAAAUAAUAGUCAGUAAAACAAAUUUGGUUAUCUAGCGAAGGGUAAUACAUACAACACAACACUUUUACAUGCAUUGACCAUAUUUGUUUACAAUCCCUCAUUCUUUAUUUGCUUCCAAAAGUGGUGUGAAUCAUUUCUAUACCCUGUCACCCUUAGAAUUUGUGUACGAUGUGUAUCAACGGCAUUACCAGUUUUCCCAAAUUAUAUAUAGAGAGGUUUAUGGACAAUUUAAUCCAUGCAGGAGACUUGGCAAGACCCUUUUCUCUGUCAAUUUUCACCCUCUGCUUCAUUCAAACCCCCUCUCUCUUUCUGCGCCUCUACAAUGUGUGGUUUCUUUCUGUCUCUUUCUUUUUUUUUUGUAUUCCCGCAUAUUUUUUUUUCUCAAGCUCCCACUGCCUCCCCAAAAACCCUCAGACAGCAUGCAGCUUAUGCAAAUCAUUGCCCUUUUAUUCUCAAUUCUCGUCCUCAGCCUUGAAUGAGACCUCAAGAAAACACACACACACACACACACACACACACACACACACACACACACACACACACACACACACACACACACUUGUUCUCACCAAACUCUACUGUAAUGGGAACGGAGCCCACCAUGACAUUUUAAUGCACUAUUCACCAAAAUGUUGAUUAUAGUAGAAACAAUCAUAUUAAGUUACUAAUAUCAUUGCAACAGUCCACUCAUCAUGCAAAGAACUACACUCUUAAGAAUAAAUGGUUUUCAAAGCAAUGCCAUAGUAGAACCAUUUUUGGUUUCUUAAAGAACCUUUCAGUAAAGAGUUCUUAAAAGAACCCUUUUCUACUACAAAGAACCUUUUGUGGAAUGGAACUGUUACAGCUUCUUCAUGAAACCAUCGAUGCCAAUAAUGAACAUUUUCAAAAAUAAAGGUCCCAAAAUGGGGUUUCUGCAGAGAUGCCACAGAAGGUUCCAUGGAUGUUAAAGGUAAAAGAGAGAGAGAGAGAGAGAGAGAGAGAGAAACAACAUUUCGAAUUUUAAAGUAGAAAAGCUAAAAUUCCUGUAAAACUUAUUCCAAUUAUCUUUGUUUUAUUUAACACUUUUUUGUGAUGUACAUUAAGCUAAGAGAGGAAAGUAUAUUCACACUGUAGAACCCUAAAGGCCUACAAUCAUUUUUAGCAAGAGUCACAAAUAUUGUUCCUAGAAGAGAUGCAGUGAGAAGGAUUAUGGGAGGGAAGUAGACUAGACAUUUAAGGAAGGAGGGGGCUGUUUACCAAAUCACUGCGACGAGGUGGGGGGUGGGGGGGUGAUGAAUAUAAAGUGCUUGCUGCCAUUCCCAGGGUCUGGAACACACACACAUGCAGGCUGUAUAUAUAAGAGUGUGUGUAUACGGAGGGGCGAGCCAACCAGCCUGACUUCCCUCAGACACUUUGACAGACGGGCCUUUUCACCAGCGCAUUGCUGGGCCAGCCAGCUCUCGCUCCCUUAGCAACGGCACAGAGUAGAGAGCCCCCUCCAGCCCGCCACCAAAACCACAGGGGUGAGGGGACGGGGCAGAUAGAGUGUGGGUUACAAGGGGUGAGCUGGUUCACAGGGGUGGAUGAAGAAGUCCCCAGUCUGGCUGGGACUCCCACAGGCAAUGAACUUGAACUUGACUCUGAUAGCAUUAAUGAGGAUCACACGUCCUUAUAUAAUAUUUGCAUAUGGAUUGGACCAAGGUUAUAAUCAUUAACUAAAACCAUAAAAAAGAUGUUUAUUACUUGAAAUAAAGUAAACAUUAACUGAAAUGAAAUAGGAAAAAUCUAACUUAUUUUCAGAUAAUGUUUAUGUUCUUUUAAUAAUGUUUAAUAAUGUUUAAUGUUAAAAAAAUUUUUUUUUAGUUUUAGUUAAUCAUGACCCGAUUAUAUUAAAAAUAAUUACCAUGAAGCAGGGUUAUUGUUAAUAUUAUUGGGUUAUUAUCAAAAUAAAAUAUUAUCUUAUUUUAUUUCAGGUGGUUGCCAACAUUUCUCUUUUUCAUUUAGUUUAAGCUGAGUUAAUAACUCAAAGUAAUUUAAUGGAAUGUAAAAAUGUAAUAUAAAAUAAAAACUAAAGCUUAAACUAUAUAGACAUAUUUAAAAAAAACAAAUAAAAAAAUAACAAAAACACAAUAAAAUUACUUGUAAAUUUUUUUUUUUUUAAUUCAAAAUAAUAUUAAUUAAUUCCAAACUAUAUUAAUAAUACUAAAAUAACAAUCAUUUUACCUUUUCCAUGAGUUAGUAUUUGAAAUGAAGGGAUAGUUCAUUCAUCAAUUAAAAUUUUGUCAUCAUUUAGUCAUCCUCAUGAACACAAAUACAUUAAAAAGAUUAAAAAUGUCUUUUGUCCAUGAAAGUCAAGUCAUGAAAGUCAAAGGGGUCCAAGUGUUGUUUGGACCACAACAUUUUUGUAAGUAAACAAUGGCAGACAUUUCAAAGCAAACCUUACAAAAAACUGUGACGUUUCAACAAAUAUAUAUAAAUAUAUAUUACAUUUUAAAAGUGAUUGUAAUUCUCCUCAUUAGGAUGUAAAGUGGGCAAAAAGCGAAGGUAAGCUACAAAGUGAGGAUAAUUAUAUCUCAAGGUCUUUUAUAAUGGUGAGGCCAUGAUGGAGGUUUAAGUGUUCCCUGGUCUCCACUCUUAUGUUCUUGAAUUCCAAGUACUGCCCUCUGCUCUCGCAUCCUCCAGGAUACAGUUAUUGAUGUUCCUGAGAGUGCUUAAAGGAUUUGCAGAGAAGUCCCAGCUUCUCUUUUAUUUUAUUGCUUUAUUACAAAUUACAUUGGCAGAACUUUUCAGCGCAACUCUGUUCAGCGCAACUCACUCCAACCUCAUCUUUAGCACUCUGCAUUGUUAUCAACAGAAGAAAAGUCUUUGAAAGAACUGAUUUCCAAAGUGUUAUCCCCUUAUAGGAACAAAAAAUGCAUUUGUCAUCGAAACUAAUUUGAAGUCACAUAAGGGUACUUAGAUUUAGUCUAAAAGCGCACUUAAAGACAUAGUUCACCCAAAAAUAAAAUUUCUGUCAUUUGCUCACAUUUCCAAACCUGUAUGACUUUCUUUUCUUCUGUUGAACAUGCAGUACAUGCACAAAAAAAAUAAUAAUAAAAUAUAAAUAAAUAAAUAAAACGGCAAUCUUACUUUCUUUUGUGUUGCACAAGAAAGUUUAAGAGUGACAUGAGGGUGAGUAAAUAAUAACAUAAUUUGUAUUUUAGGGUGGACUGUCCCUUUAAGGUACUUUAACUUUCAUCCAUCACUCAAGUUCAUGAUCUGGAUUAAGAUGCCGUAUAGUUCUGUGAUCUUAACAUCUCCAUUGUGGCUCUGGAUUACCUGUGUUUAAUAGUUCAGUUUAGAUCUACCACUCUGCUGACUGUGGUUCUUUUUGCUGCAUGUUAUUCCUGCUCGGGAAUCUCAAUCCCAGGCUUUUCACGGCCACUCGUCCAAGGAGGGGGAGAAAAAGGUGGGGGAAACAAUUUCAAAGCUCCCCCGUAGCCGAUACAAAGCUGAGAACAACCCUUGGCGGGAUAAUCGUGUUUAUCCCGAGAUUAAGACGAGAUCGACAGCUGAGGUAUCCAAGGGGAAUUUUACCGUAAAACACACAUUGGUCUUUAACACGAACCCAAGAGAUGCUUCUGAGUCAUUUCUCACCACUGAUCAUUUCGUAGUUACGAAAGCAAUUCGUAACUCGUCUAUUCUUGUUAAGUGUCUUCAUUAACACGAUCCAUUCUCAAAUUGUCCUCAAGAGAUAUCUUUGGUAAAGCAUGCAUUAAAAAUGACUUCUAUAUAAGAUAUAAAUAUAUAUACAAGUGUGAACUUUCUCAGAAAGCAAUAGCAGCUUCCAUUCUCCCUGCAGUCAUGUACGUUUCCAAAUCUAAUCUGGCACUAAAUUUUUAUCACAACAGCAUGAAAUAAAAUCUCACAGAGCUGGCUUUAAGAAAUAAAUAUGUGAAGCCCUAUAACACUGGACAUAAAGAUGACAUAUGACAGGGAGAAAACUGUUAGUAUGCCAGACAAAUAUUCCCAGAAAGCCACCUCCCAUAGGCCUUUGAUAUUAUCAUGCCAGCUGCAGCAACUGCCACAUGGGGCCACAGACUGAGCCAGACAGUAAAAGCCCUCCCCCACCUCUUCUAUUCUCUGCCAAACACACGUUUCCUCGAUAUUUCAUUGUUCAUCAGUGUAUUUAUUAACGUCAAUUGUUUAUCUCACUCUAUUUUUUCCACCGCGUUGCUGUUGAGAGCAGAAAACCUCAGUUAGUGACACAGUGUCCUCGAUUGCUUUGUAUGCAAGUCCUCCAACUCUCCUGCAAUACUUGUUUUCCCCUGUUCACUGCAUCCAUCUGCUUUUUUUCUAUUUUAUUUAGCAUAAUUAAUUCCUCCUUUUUUGUGAUUCACCUUUUGCUUGCUGUGAAAUACUGUUGCUGUCCCAGUGCAAACUUUCUCUGUGGUUUUCUGUAUCACUGCCUCCAUUUUACUGGGUAAUAUAUUGUAAUGGAGCUUUAAUUAAUUGCUUGCCCAACUGCUGUGCCCUAGCAAAAGGGGGAGAGGAACAAACUGUCCUUUAAAUUCAACUCCAGUUGUUUGAGAUUUUACAUGCAAAAUGCAUUAAUAUAUACACAGAACUUUAUGAUUCAUAAAUACUUUGCAAUGCACAUCAUGCAUGAUAUCAAAUCCAUUACAUUUAUGCAUUUAGUAGAUGCUUGCAAAUCCAAGUGGCUUUGGAUACAAAAGCAAUUCGUCACGGAGCCAACAAUAAUUACAAUAAAAUAAAGAAUUAAACUGCAUACACUAAGACAAAAGAUAUACAAUAUAAAAUGCUAUACUUUAGAAUACACACUCAUAUUAAUCAAUUAGCACUGACCUUUAACGAUUUAAAACUCGAUAACAACUUGAUACUCUAGCAGGCACUGCAGAAAAGAGUGCAUCUAUUGCGUGAGCACACAUGAUUGUGCAAAUGCUCAUGCAAUUCCUGACCGCACAAGCAUAUAGUGCUGCUAACACACUCUCGAAGCAGCCUGAGAAAUAAAGCCCCAUCCUCAGCCGUUCCCUGAGGAUAGUCUCUUAGGGUUUUGGUGCUAAUUUAGGCAUCUGGCUCUGUCUGGGCCUGAGCAUCUUUCUCAGCUUAUUACCCUCCACUGUCUCUGGCACUCCAUCCGUACAGACAAUGGUGGGAAACAGGGGGGACUGCGGACCCACGUCAAGUACUCGCCUUACAAUGCUGCCAUUGUAGAAGAGGAGAGGGGUCUGGAAUAAUAAUGUGGGCACUAUCAAACUGUUUACCAACAAAGAGACUACAGCUGACAAUUUGCUCCUUAUUUAUCACAAAUCAUCAUUUGUGGUAUUGCUAUUGAUGCUUGCAUACGUGUAAGGAGAAGCUGUGUAAAAAAAAAACACACACACUCUGAAACUGAUUGACUUUCUUGCACACAGACACGAAAACACAUUUUUCAUCAUACACACAGAUGCAAAUGACCUUGUGUUGAAGUGAUUAUUGUGCCAGACACCUUGGGAGACAUUUCAAGGAAUUGCCCUUUUCAGUCGAUGAAAAAAUAUAAUCACAGUCAUGCCUAAAAUCCACAUAUGCUACUCCAUAAAGCACAUUAUGUUGGACUGCUAACAGAGAGAGCUAUAGUAAUCCAAAUGUGCUAAGGAUUUUUUUAAUAUUUGAAUUAUUCGAUUUUAUUUUUGUAUGAAUUUAGACUGGAUUUUUUUCUUAGCAGUGCAGCGCAUUAUUCUAUAGCUUUUGUGUUUGCAGAAAGGAAAAAAAAAAAACAAAUAUUUCAUUUUUCUGACUUUACGCAUGUGCACAAUCUGUUUGACUGAAAACACAAAGAACUGGUAAACCACAAAAACAAUACAUAGUUCAGCGCUUGAUUUGCAUAUUGAAAACUGGAAAAAUCUGGUAUGGGUUUGGCACUGUGCCAAGCGGCAUAAUUAACACUUUUCAUCCACUGCUCUGCAGCAGUCACAUUAUGCUCUGACAAGCAUCCACUCCCCCUGCUCGACCGCUUAUACCCACACACACAACAUGAACACGCAAAUGCGAAUGUGAACAUUUAUUCUUGCUUCUAUACAUUUGUAAACACUGUUAACAUUUGCUGUUAAACCUACAGUUUUGCUAUCAUUAUGCACCAUUUGGGCAAAUGCAGUGUUGUUGUGUUACAGUACAGCAUUAGACUCUCUGAUUAAGGGUUUAAAAUGAGUUUUGUGUCCGUAUGAGAGAUAUUUAAGCAUUGAAGGUCUUUUACAUAAAACCCUGAGAGAUGCAGAAGGAGGAAACCCCUCCCCCUCACAGCAAGAUACACAGCAUAAUUAGAAAUUCCCUAUUAAAGGUACAGUCUCUCAAUUCUAGGCUACUAUUUUGUCCAAGGACGAGUUUAAAAUGUAUGCAUUGAGUGUUUGGUCUCAAAGAGAGACGCUCAGUUUUGUAUCAUCUUGAAAAAUCUAUUUUUCUUCUGCAUGUAGAUAGAGAAACCAUUUCCAUAUAUUAAUAAUAUAAUAACAUCUAUUGAGACAAAUGUGCGGUGGUAAAUCUUAAAUCUGUAGCUUUGUGUUGUAGCAUAAUCAUAAUUUUUUUUUUUGUCUAUUACAGGCUCACAAAAACUCCUAAAUUAUUAAACCCCUGGCUAUUUCUUUUAAAAUUAUGAACAUGGAUUGUUCUUGUCUAUCAUAUGCAAAACUGAGAAAGCGAAUGCUCCUGCUAAAUAUAGAUUGCAAAAAUAAAAUUUUGCAUUCAGAAUGGACACAUUUCUGCAUUGUAUAUUUGUGUGUGUAUUUAUCCCUGGAAAUUUCUAGAAUGCUUGUAUAAUUCUCUGCAAGAAAAAAAAACAGAUAGAACACAAGCACAACAGUAACAUCGAAGUCUUUUUCUGCUUUGAAAGCAUCAAAGUCUUUUUCUGCUGAAAAGUUGGUAUUCAAAUUUGAACAUAAACAUUCAAAAUAUAGAAUGCUGCCACGUGCCGUUGCUAAAGCGCCGCUGUGCCUUUAAUUGGGGGCUCAGUUCUCUCUGCUUGUUCCUAUGCAAUUAUGUUAAUAUGCAGAGCUUGUCUGGUCUUUUUCAUUAACAGAGGCACUUGCAUCAUUGUUUCCUUUAUUUGUAAGCUCCACGGGCACCUUCCGUACAUCAGUGAUCUUUUUUACACGUCUUUUUUGAUGGGCUAUUCUGCCAAGCCUCCUCUUUUAGGAUAAAAAUAAAAAAAGCUCAUUUAUGGACAAGGAUGUCUUUUAGGCACACAGGGUUUCCACGCUCAGUAAGUAUGCAAAUACGGUUUUCUGUUAUUACGAGGGAGAUUCAAUGGCUUAAAAUAUUCAGUAGAUGACGCAUCAUUUGUCUCGUCCUCACAUUUCAAUGUAUUUUGAAUAUUUACGCUCUAUCCGUUCGUAUUGCUCUGGUUACAUCACAAAAGCAAAGCAUAUUUGUCAUCCUAGAGCAAAUAUGUUUGAGAAUGCCUGUGUUCCACCUAUUUGAAUCAUUUUCUGUAAUAAACACACCAGCACAGCUCUGCAUAUCACCAGCAAUCCAUUAUGACGCAACCAGUCACCUUUGUGAAGUACAUUUCAAUGUCUUCCAUCCAUUUCAAUGACAUAACUUGCAGCUCUCUGCAACCAGGCGGCCUGCGUACAUUUCCGUUUACCACGUAACAUCCGAGUGAUACGAGCGAGCAAUGUGAUGUUUUGCACGUCUCGCCUCUUGAUCAGCUAAUGUUACAAACUGUGGCUGUUUUAAAAGACACCAAACAAAAUUUAAAAACAUGGUACAGUGUAAGAGCCUGCAGACCUUUUUCUAACAUUAAAGUUGGGCAGGGCAGCGUAUGUGCUAUUGUAAGCUGGUGAGGGGCACUUGGCACCUUCGUGCCAGUAAUUUGGUGUAUCAUUAACAAAAGCAGCAGAAACAAAAGUGCUCUUCAGUUCAGGUUGACUCUGUUGCUUUGGUCAAGAGGAUGCCGUAUGUCAAUUAACUUGAGUUCAAGCAGCUCUCGCUUUUUGGUUUCAUCUGAAAAUCUGGAGUGGUCAUUUUUGUGUCGUCACUGAACCAUGGAUUUUGUUGCAUGGUUUUGUCCUUUAUAACAUAUAACCCGACCUUAAGUCAAUUAAUGGAGUAAGAGCAGGAAUUAAUAGCUACUUUCAUUCUCUCCUUCAUUUGAAAAUGCAUAUACAGCAGCAGGAGGGAUUCAUUUGCUUUCAAAGCUCGCUACAAAUCAGAAGGUCUUUGUGCAUAUCUGAGCGUGUGCAUAUAGAUAACGGGGAUAUUUUCUAAUUAGUCAGGAAAGAUGAGAGCGUGAUAGCUCUUUUUAAAGAAAAUGAUUUGGGCCUAAUCUUACGCCGCCAAAAAAGCAACCACAAAACACAUUUUCUAGAGACUUUUUUGCCUAAUUUUUUUGCUUUACGUUUCAAACGACCUGGCAACCACUGGCGGAGCUAAAAUCAGACGCAAUAAAGCGGCAGCUAGUCUGAUAUAGGCAUCGAUGCAGCUUACCUCAUGCCAACACAGCCAUUUUAGGGAGCAGCAGCCAGUUUCUCCAUCAAGAUGGCUUCCUGAAAGCACACCCCUCAUUCAGACUUGCAGUCUUCCUGCAUCUGGUGGUCCGUGGCAACUGGCAGCCUCUUUGUCCCCAUUGGCACUUGGGAUGUAGAGUCUCACUCCUUUCCUUUUUUCCUCUUUUCUCCGGGGGCACAGAUGGCACUAAAUGCUUCCGUUGAUGAAGAAGGGAGGGGAGCUGAUGGCGUUUUCCCCCUUAGCUCCAGUCCUCUGGUCUCUCACAAAGACACAGCAGUUUGAGAGGCUA